UAGAGUGUGGCUAAAGAGGAAAGCAUCUCCCUUACACUGAGAAGAUAUUCGUGCAAAUCGAAUCAUUCUAA
rnacentral:tRNA from 1 species